GGGCACCUCUCGCUUGGCAGG
rnacentral:miRNA from 1 species